GAUAGCUCGGUCGGUAGAGCAUGAGACUCUUAAUCUCAAGGUUGUGGGUUCGAGCAAAAGAUUCCUGCAUUGCA
rnacentral:tRNA from 1 species